AGCUCCAAUAGCGUAUAUUAGAAUUGCUGCAGUUAAAACGCUCGUAGUUUAUUGAUGGGGGUGGGAUGUGCGGGGAAGGAAUUCCCAGUGCAUCUCGCUCCUUUUGCGGGGAUAAGACACGCUCUUUCUCCCCGCGCUUACUUUGAAGAAAUUAAAGCGUUCAAAGCAUGCACACGCCUUGAAUACGUCAGCAUGGAAUAACGGAAAAACUCGGGUUUUUUGUUGGUUAGCAGCACGAGUGAUUGAUAGGGACAGUUGGGGGCAUUAGUAUUUGCCAGUCAGAGGUGAAAUUCUUGGAUUUGGCAAAGACUAACUAGUGCGAAAGCAUCUGCCAAGGAUGUUUUCA
rnacentral:rRNA from 1 species